UGGACAGAUUAUUGUAUUCGACUGUAUUCACGGCAUGAAAUAGGAGAUUACACUAUUUUUAAAACGGAAAGUGAAUCAAUUAACAUAAUAGACUCCU
rnacentral:pre_miRNA from 1 species